rnacentral:rRNA from 1 species
ACCCGUGGGGGUAGAGCACUGAAUAGUUGCGGGGGCUUCACCGCCUACCAAGAUUAAUCAAACUCCGAAUACCAUAGGGUCUAAAUCCGGGAGUCAGAAUAUGUGGGCUAAGCUGUGUAUUCGAAAGGGAAACAGCCCAGACCGCCCGCUAAGGUCCCAAAAUCAAUGCUAAGUGGCAAAGGAUGUGCGUUUGCUCAGACAACCAGGAUGUUGGCUUAGAAGCAGCCAUUCAUUUAAAGAGUGCGUAAUAGCUCACUGGUCGAGUGGACAUGCGCCGACAAUAUACGGGGCUAAGCAUUGUACCGAAGCGGCGGAUCAGUACUUUGUACUGGUGGUAGGAGAGCUUUCUGUACGGGUUGAAGCAGUUGGAUAACCAACUGUGGACUGUCCAGAAGUGAGAAUGCUGGCAUGAGUAACGAGAGACAUGUAAAAAACAUGUCCGCCGUAAACCCAAGGUUUCCUACGCGAUGCUCGUCAUCGUAGGGUUAGCCGGGUCCUAAGCAAAGUCCGAAAGGGGUAUGCGAUGGAAAAUUGGUUAAUAUUCCAAUGCCAACUAUAAUGUGCGAUGGAAGGACGCUUAGAGUUAGAGGAGCCAGCGGAUGGUAGUGCUGGUCGAAAGGUGUAGGUUAAGAUCCAGGCAAAUCCGGAUCUUUUUAAGCCGAGACCCCACAGGCGUUUGAAGUUCUUCGGAAUGGAUAGCGAAUUGCUGAUACUGUCGAGCCAAGAAAAGUUUCUAAGUUUAGUUAUAGUUGCCCGUACCGUAAACCGACACAGGUGGGUGGGAUGAGUAUUCUAAGGCGCGUGGAAGAACUCUCUUCAAGGAACUCUGCAAAAUAGCACCGUAUCUUCGGUAUAAGGUGUGCCUAACUUUGUGAAGGAUUUACUCCGUAAGCAUUGAAGGUUACAACAAAGAGUCCCUCCCGACUGUUUACCAAAAACACAGCACUCUGCUAACUCGUAAGAGGAUGUAUAGGGUGUGACGCCUGCCCGGUGCUCGAAGGUUAAUUGAUGACGUUAGCUCUGCGAAGCGUUUGAUCGAAGCCCGAGUAAACGGCGGCCGUAACUAUAACGGUCCUAAGGUAGCGAAAUUCCUUGUCGAUUAAAUAUCGACCUGCAUGAAUGGCGUAACGAGAUGGGAGCUGUCUCGAAGAGGGAUCCAGUGAAAUUGUAGUGGAGGUGAAAAUUCCUCCUACCCGCGGCAAGACGGAAAGACCCCGUGGACCUUUACUACAGCUUGACACUGCUACUUGGAUAAAGAUGCGCAGGAUAGGUGGGAGGCUUUGAUUCGUAGAUCUCGGUUUACGAUGAGCCAUUGUUGAGAUACCACCCUUCUUUAUUCGGGUAGCUAACUAGCCUAAGUUAUCCUU